GCCCUGCUACUGAUGUGAUGCACUGAAAGUAAAGAAAAAAUUUUUAACUCGGAAAUUUUGAUUGGACGAGUAUGGCGAGUUAAAAGAGAGCAAACAGUCCAUGAAUGUCUUGGGUGUACUAUUGUACUCAUAUAUACAAAGAAUACAAAAUGAUUGAGUAAAAUUGAUUUGUGAAAUAUCACAUCCAUUAACGCUUUGAAACAAGGAUCAGCAGGGCUCUAAAAUUUUGAGUUACCGCUUUGGACUUCAGGAGUGUGCUACAUUCUUACAUAUGCAGUAGUCUCUAAUGUAUUCUGCUGUGCUAAAGAAUCUAAGAACAUGUAUCCUCCUGCAACACCUACUUUUCUACCAGAUUCUCAAGAUAAUUGUGCAAAUCUACUACUCAUGCUGGCAUUGGCCCCUGGAGCUUGGAUUUCUGGUUUAAUUAAUUGAACCACGCUGUUGUUGUACUGGAUUCUUAUUUUUCUGGUUGCUGCAUACCUUUCUUCUUUUAGGGGGACAACAAUGAAUUUGCAACGCACACUCCUCUACCAUGGAAUGUUAAUUUAGUGGUUGUUGAAUACUUUUCUCCUUUGUCAAGGACAAAAAUAAAGUUGCAGUACACAGCUUUACCAGAUUGUCAUUUAGUUGUGUGCUUAAGGGUUCUACUGGCUUCUGGAGGGCAACAAUGAGUUUGAAAGAAACAGAUAAUUUGAUGUCUAGGCAUGAUGCCUGGUAGGCUUUUGGAUGAUCCAUGAUUCAGAAUCUUGCUUUGAAAUCUCCUGAUCAUCAUGAAGUCAUUCAGAAUUCAGACACUUUUGAUUUAGGAGCUUCUAUUCUCUCCUCCGUUACAAUUCUUAAGUUUAGCGUUUCCCCCACAAAGGCUUCAACCUGUUACCCCCUCUGGAAUAACUCAAUCUUGAUGAUCAAACGAUAAUAAUGUGGUUGGUUCUUACACUCUCACUUUACUUUUAAUGCAGUAGAAAAUUCUCUCUCAUUCAUAUGUUUAUAUAUACAUGACAAGUAUGGCAAGCUACAAUUGAAUAAACAAAACAAUAGGAUGCUUACUUUAUGAGAAUAGUAGGGA